rnacentral:rRNA from 1 species
AUUGAACGCUGGCGGCAGGCCUAACACAUGCAAGUCGAACGGUAACAGGAAGAAGCUUGCUUCUUUGCUGACGAGUGGCGGACGGGUGAGUAAUGUCUGGGAAACUGCCUGAUGGAGGGGGAUAACUACUGGAAACGGUAGCUAAUACCGCAUAACGUCGCAAGACCAAAAAGGGGGAACUUCGGGCCUCUUGCCAUCGGAUGUGCCCAGAUGGGAUUAGCUAGUAGGUGGGGUAACGGCUCACCUAGGCGACGAUCCCAAGCUGGUCUGAGAGGAUGACCAGCCACACUGGAACUGAGACACGGUCCAGACUCCUACGGGAGGCAGCAGUGGGGAAUAUUGCACAAUGGGCGCAAGCCUGAUGCAGCCAUGCCGCGUGUAUGAAGAAGGCCUUCGGGUUGUAAAGUACUUUCAGCGGGGAGGAAGGGAGUAAAGUUAAUACCUUUGCUCAUUGACGUUACCCGCAGAAGAAGCACCGGCUAACUCCGUG